GACGAACCGUGCGAACGUUGUUCGGAAUCACUGGGCUUAAAGGGCGCGUAGGCGGGCCACCAAGUCCGGGGUGAAAUCUUUCGGCUUAACCGGAAAACAGCCUUGGAUACUGGCGGCCUCGAGGGAGGUAGGGGUCUGUGGAACUUCUGGUGGAGCGGUGAAAUGCGUUGAUAUCAGAAGGAACGCCGGUGGCGAAAGCGACGGACUGGACCUCCACUGACGCUGAGGCGCGAAAGCUAGGGGAGCAAACGGG
rnacentral:rRNA from 2 species